GACGAACGCUGGCGGCGUGCCUAAUACAUGCAAGUCGAACGCAGUGGGGACGGUGGAGUAACACGUGGGUAACCUCCCAUCAGAGGGGAGAACACUUGGCAACAGGUGCUAAACCGCUACUGGUUGAUGGACCAGCGGUGGAUUAGCUAGUUGGUGGGGUAACGGCUCACCAAGGCCACGAUGCAUAGCCGGCCUGAGAGGGUGAUCGGCCACACUGGAACUGAGACACGGCCCAGACUCCUACGGGAGGCAGCAGUAGGGAAUCUUCGGCAAUGGGCGAAAGUCUGACCGAGCAACGCCGCGUGAGUGAAGAAGGUUUUCGGAUCGUAAAACACUGUUGUUAGAGAAGCGGUAUCUAACCAGAAAGCAACGGCUAACUACGUGCCAGCAGCCGCGGUAAUAC
rnacentral:rRNA from 1 species